AUAGAAAGUGAAACCACCGCGUUGGCCACACGAUCGUCGUUGCCAGGCGAACGGCAGCACAAAGGAGAGGGAACGAAGCCCGGCUCUAAGAUAUAAGCCAAACAACUAACUAUUACUCAAUCUGUGCUAAAAAGAAAAAUAGAGAUAGAUGAAUAGAUUCGCUGCAGCUAAAGUCGAGAUGUUGGAGCCACAACAAUGCGGAGCGGACGAAGUGGAACUGGAGUGUGAAAGAUGGAUUGGAUGACAACGGAAUCGAGAUGGAUUGAAACCGGGAUCUGGAGCUGGAGCUGAAGCUGAUUGGAGGUCCAAUCUGCCAAGCUUAAGCUCGAUCAUGUAACCCAACAUCGUAUCUGUGAUUAGUGUUGAUUCCAUUGAUAUCCAGUUACUUUGGCAUAUGAUUCAAUAUAUUCUGUUUGG
rnacentral:lncRNA from 1 species